ensembl:lncRNA
AGUAUGAGAGACAAAACCCUUUACACCUCCAGCAGGAGACAGGAGGUCUCCUGAGAUCUGUGCUCAGCGUGGACACAGCGGGCAGAGGCGAGGGGCUGGCACCACGCCUUUCUGAGCGCCAGCUAGCUCUGCACGUAUCCUCCCAUGUCCACGAGUGUGGGCGGCUGGCAGUCCGUCUGUGACUCGCUAAAGUGCUGCCCCGUGGUCUCGCUGCUCACUGUUGCACCCUGUGCUUGGCACACCUGCCUGGGAUCUCCCUCGGACAGAUUCCUAGCAGUAGAAAUGUACAGCUAAAGAAUAAUUUAACCGUUCUGAAAUUUUUGGACUUUUAGUAUUACCACAGUACUCACAGAACAUUAAUUAACCUACCACCUGGAACACCAGCCUUUCCCUUUCUCGUCGGAGCUGGAGAUGGCACCUUGUUCCACUUCUAUUUCUUUGAUUACUCUGAAACUGAACAGCUUUCAUACUAUAUUCAUGCUUCUACUUUUGUAACUUCGACUGUUGGUCUUUUUCAUGUGACUGUUUUUAAUACUAUAUUCUUGUCGUAUUUUGCAGUUUUUUUAAAAACCUAUUUGUCAAUUGUCUUUUGGUUUCAUUGAUGGUAAGGGGCCUGCGUGCUAAGUUGCUUCAGCUGUGUCUGACACUCUGUGACCCUAUGAACCAUUCCCCGCCAGGCUCCUCUGUCCACAGGAUUCUCCAGGCAAUAAUGGGAUGGGUUGCCGUGCCCUCCUCCAGGGGAUCUUCCUGACCCGGGGAUCGAACCCCCAGCUCUUACGUCUCCUGCACUGCUGAGGUACUGGGGAAGUCCAGAUACAUGCCCAGGAGUGGGAUUGCUGCCUCAUAUGGUAACUCCAUUUUCAGUUUAAGGAACCUCCGCACUGCUUUCCGUAGUGGCUGCACCAAUUUACAUGCUAUGUGCUUUGCUGAAACAUCAACCAGCGAGUUGGAACCAUCUUUGACAGCUCCCUGCAGUGUCCACCCCCAGCCUCACACUCCUGUGCUGUAGUCGUGAGGUCUCGCUUCCUGCACAGGGUGACCCCCCUGUCAGGCGGCAGAGUUCCCAGCGCUGCCUUCUGUUCUGGGCUGGCGAGCGCCAGCAGCUGCGCCAGUGGAAGGGCCGGGCCUCACGUCUGGACAUCCUCUGGGGGCAGCACCUUCUGGCAAGAAGCCCUCGUGAAACUCUCCAUGUGGAGGGGAACCAAUGCUUCCUUCCUCCAAACGUCUUCCCUUACAAGCCUCAAGUUUUUUUAAUGCAGUUACUGCUCUGCAGUAUAUGAACCCUAGUCCAGAAGCACAAAGUUCCGGGAGACAGCACAGCUCAGGGUGCUUGACGUGCCCCAUACUGCUCACGGGGGCUGCCCAGAGGGAGGGCAGGGCUGCCCUACAGCUGGUGAUGACUCUAUAUACUUUUAAAUGUACCUCCUCUCAGAGGCCCUUUCCAAAAGCAGGAAGUAAGUACAUUUACAGUGGAUCAAAUUGAGUAUUUGAGUAAGGAAAACAAAAAUGAAAAUUCAGUCCUUCAGAGGUAAGAUCUGCCUUGAGGUAAGAUUUGCCUUUAAUUCCCCCGAGCACCCAGCAGCACAGGCACUAGAGGGGGGAGUGAUUGGAGAGAUGGAAACUUGUAUUUAGCACACGCCAUGCUCCCAACAGGAUCCUGGAAGCAAAAGAGCCCCGGCCAGAAUAGAGCAUCCAGUGCUUGGCUUAUACCGACUGCGGGUGCUGACAGCCACAGGUCGGCCCAAGAAUCAGCCCACAGUGUGUCUGGGCGUCAGAUGGUGACGUCCCGUGGAGAGCGCAGGUGGGGGCCUUGCUGUGUCCUGAACUGCAGCAGGGCGCUGUGAGGGGAGCCACACAGGGUGCCUCCUGCGCCCACAGCUUAGCCUGUGCCACUCAGGGGAGAAUCCUCUCCCCAGUCUGAGGUUGGGCAAAUGGGUAACAACUUUGUCUUCUUUUUAUUGCCGCUCUCACUACCUAGGCUCUGACACAGAUUCCACACUCCCAAGCGCCCACCUCGGACACCCUCUGGGCUUCUGCAUUACUUGGCACUGACCGCUUCCUGCACCGGGCUUCCAGUGGGCCUUUUUGGCCAGUCCAGGCAGGUCUGCAUUUCAUCACUCUCUGUUGCACCCUUUCACACACACCAGCCAGGCUGAGGAGAACAGGAAAUGUGCUCGCUCUCAGUGAGGAGGAGCCUGCCUGUGUCAGAGAGGAAGGCAGGGUGUGGCACUUCGCCCCACCUCCCUAAUGCUCCCCUCGCUCUGGGCCUCUGUGGUUCCCGCUCCUGCUCCUCUCUACUCUGCCCAGCCCUCUUCACUCCCAUCGGCUGUUGUCCUCCACCUGUCACCAGCACUGUGGUGGUCCCUCGGUUUCUUCUGUCACACUUCAUAUGCUCCUCCUGAAAAAUCUUGUUAGUUUUUCAUAUAGAAUAAAUUACCAAUUAUUUGGUAAGCAGUUACCGAAUAAUUUGCUAAUGACCCUUACAUUUCCAGAUCUAUCCUAGACUCUGCCCAGACUCAUCUGAAUAUCAACCACAUGCCAGCCAUUCCACCUGAGUGUCUCGUUGGUGUCCCAAACACAGCAUGUCAACACCAAACUCACAUUCUGUCCUCCAGACUAGCUGAGCUCUCCUAGGAUAAAUGACCUCCCCUUCCCAUCAGCCACUAAGAGCCUGUCUCUUCAACCCAUCCCAUAAUUUCCAUCCACAUAGUCACAGCCCUGGUCCCCGUCUUGAGUUCAUUCUGAUCUAGACCACUUCCCCUCAGCUUUCUUAUUCCUCUUUUCAAGGCCCAUUUCAGACAGAUUGCCCUCUUUUACGGUAAUUUCUAUCCACAAAAUGAGCUGACCCUUAAAAAAAAAAAAGUUCCUCUAGUCAGUCUUGAAUAUAUACCUAUUAUAUGAUGCAUAUCUCAUUCAUCAUGUCACGUUCAUCAUGUUACUUACCUUUUACUUUGUCCAGCAUGUUACUUUGAGUUUCAACAGCAAGUAUAAUGCCUCACACAGGAGCUACUCAAAAAAGUUUACUGAAGGGAAAGAUGUUUUUGAUCAAUUGAAAUCUUACCUGUUUCAUUACUAGACUAUUGCUUUUCUCUAUAUAAUAGCUAAAUAUAAGGAAUCAAAUUCAACAGGCUCAAGGGAGAAGGCAAGCUUAACAGCAUACAUGACAAACACCAGGACAGUGGUUUUCUCUGGGGGUGAGCAAGAGGGUCUCUGAAGAAUGUCAGGCAUUACUGAGGGGUCAGACAGUAUCCCACUGAUCUGGAUGCUGCUUAUACGUGACCUACUGUAUAGUUAAUCGAUAAAUUAUAAAAAUACUCUUAUUGGGACCAGCCUCACACACCCAGUGGACAGGCCCCAAAUUCUGCAAGACAAAAGGCAGUGGCACAAUAUAUUUAAAGUGAUAGAAGGGAAAAGCCUACAAACUAAUAAUAAUCCACCCAGCAAAGCUUUCAUUCUGGGUUGAUGGAGAGAUCAAAUGUUUUACAGACAAGCAAAAGCUAUUUAAAGAGUUCAAGCACCACAAAACCAGCUUUAUAAGAAAUGUUAAAAGAACUUCUCUAAGUGAAAAAGAAAAGGCUAGGAGGAGAAAAAUGAGAGUCACAAAAGGAAAAAGCUCGCUGCUAAAGUCAGUAAAUUAACACCUUACUGACCAGGGAAAUUCUGCAGAAACUAAUGCCUGUGGCUGGUGAUUGGUUAUGUAAGUAAAUGUUGAAAUGUCUCUGGUCAGUCCGUAACCUUUGGGUAACAAAAGAUAUAUUAAUGUGUUUCUAGUCAAUAAUGUGUUAACCAUGUACAAAGCUAGUAGGAGGUUAAAGUAGUAAAACCAUCUGUGUCCUCAAUAAGUAGUUACUGGUUAUAUAAAUAUUUAAAAUAUGAAAACUGGUAGUUGUUGAGGAGAGGAGCAAAAUGUAGGGUUAGUUACAAUGCAUUUGAAUUUAUGAGAUUAGAAACAUAUAUAAAAUAAUGUACAUACACACAAAAAAAGAGGAAUUAUAACUCUAAAGACAGUCGUCAAAUCACAAGGGAAGAAAACAAAAGAAGGAAGAGGAACAAAAAAGAACUACGAAAACAAUCCCCAAACAACUAAUGAGCUAAAUGCUCCAAUUAAAAGACAGUGAUGGAUAUUUCUUUAAAAACUAGAACUAAUUCAUGUUGAUGUAUGGCAAAACCAAUACAAUAUUGUAAAGUAAUUAACCUCCAAUAAAUUUUAUUUUUUUAAAAAAACUAGAACUAAAACUGCCAUAUGACCCAGCAAUCCCACUACUGGGCAUAUGCCCUGAGAAAAUCAUAAUUCAAAAAGAUAAAUGUACCCCAAUGUGCACUGCAGGGCUGUUUACAACAGGACCUGGGAGCAACCUAGAUGUCUGUCAACAUAUGAAUAAAGAUGUGUACAUAUACAAUGGAAUACUCAGCCAUAAAUAUGAAUACAUUUGAGUCAGUCCUAGUGAGGUGUAUAACCCUAGAGCCUGCUAUACAGAGUGAAGUAAAGAAAGAAAGAAAGAAACACAUUAUUGUACACACACACACACAUAUAUGGAAAUCUACAAGAAUGGUACUGACAUGCCUAUUUGCAGAACAGGAACAUUGAGACAGACACAGACCUGUGGACACAGCAGGGGAAGGAGAG